CCGACGCAGCCGCCGGCCCGCCCGCCAGUCUGGGCUCCUGCACAUCUGGCGAUCCCGCCACAUCUGGGCAGCCGGCGCUGGAGCAUGAACGGCUCUCAGGCGGGCGCCGCGGCUCAGGCCGCCUGGCUGAGCUCCUGCUGUAACCAGUCGGCGUCGCCGCCGGAGCCCCCCGAGGGGCCGCGCGCGGUGCAGGCGGUGGUGCUCGGCGUGCUGUCCCUGCUGGUGCUUUGCGGGGUCCUGUUCCUGGGCGGCGGCCUCCUCCUCCGCGCCCAGGGCCUGACAGCGCUGCUGACCCGCGAGCAGCGCGCGUCCCGCGAGCCCGAGCCGGGCAGUGCCAGCGGAGAGGACGGCGACGACGACUCCUAGGCGCCCGGCUGCGCUCGGUGGUCGCGGCCUCCAGGCAGCCCCUGACUCCGAGCGGUCCGGAGCAUGCCCGACGGCUGCUGCGGUCCCGACCCCUUACCCGAAGCGGCGCGCCCCACACAGAGAGGAGAAGAAGAGAAGAGGAGAGGAGAGAAGAGAAGAAGAGAGGAGAGAAGAGAAGAGGAGAGGAGAGAAGAGAACCUCAGAGGAUCCAGAACGGCAGCUGGUCCUUGCUGGACUGUUCCUGUCCAUGUGCCUGGUCAUGGUGCUGGGGAACCUGCUCAUCAUCCGGCCAUGAGCCCUGACUCCCACCUCCACACCUCCAUGUACUUCUUCCUCUCCAACCUGUCCUUGCCUGACAUCGGUUUCACCUCCACCACGGUCCCCCAGAUGACUGUGGACAUCCAGUCUCGCAGCAGAGUCAUCUCCUAUGCAGGCUGCCUGACUCAGAAGUCUCUCUUUGCCAUUUUUGGAGGCACGGAAGAGAGACAUGCUCCUGAGUGUGAUGGCCUAUGACCGGUUUGUAGCCAUCUGUCACCCUCUAUAUCAUUCAGCCAUCAUGAACCUGUGUUUCUGUGGCUUCCUAGUUUUGCUGUCUUUUUUUUUUCUCAGUCUUUUAGACUCCCAGCUGUACAACUUGAUUGCCUUACUAAUGACCUGCUUCAAGGAGGUGGACAUUCCUAAUUUCUUCUGUGACCUUUCUCAACUCCCCCAUCUUGCCGUUGUGACACCUUCAUCAAUAACAUAAUCAUGUAUUUCCCUACUGCCAUAUUUGGUUUUCUUCCCAUCUCGGGGACCCUUUUCUCUUACUAUAAAAUUGUUUCCUCCAUUCUGAGGGUUUCAUCAUCAGGUGGGAAGUAUAAAGCCUUCUCCACCUGUGGGUCUCACCUGUCAGUUGUUUGCUGAUUUUAUGGAAGAGGUGUUGGAGGGUACCUCAGUUCAGAUGUGUCAUCUUCCCCCAGAAAGGGUGCAGUGGCUGCAGUGAUGUACACGGUGGUCACCUCCAUGCUCAACCCCUUUAUCUACAGCCUGGGAAACAGGGAUAUUAAAAGUGUCUUGCGGCGGCCGC
rnacentral:lncRNA from 1 species